rnacentral:rRNA from 1 species
GACGAACGCUGGCGGCGUGCUUAACACAUGCAAGUCGAGCGGUAAGGCCCUCGGGUACGACGAGCGGCGAACGGGUGAGUAACACGUGGGUGACCUGCCUCUAGCUCUGGGAGUAAGCCUGGGAAACGUAGGGUCGUAAUACCGGAUAUGACUCCACGGCGCAUGUUGUGGGGUGGAAAGCCUUGUGUGGCUAGAGAUGGGCCC